AGAGAGAGAGAGAGAGAGAGAGAGAGAGAGAGAGAGAGAGGAAGGGUGAGAGAGCAAGAAGAGAGAGAGCGGGAAAGAGGAAGGGGCAAACAUGUGGAGGUGCUCACUUAAAAGGGGAAAAUUGCACAUGUGUACUGAGUCCUUAUGCAGCCCCAUAGCGAGUGAUGUGACCACACAACACGGGGCCCUUUGAGAUGCCUAAGUAUCUGCCUGAAUGCCGAUAUGCAUGCCCCACCCAUUGUCAGGGGGCGGGGUCAGCAUAAUACCAGGUUCCAACAACCUCACAUCUUAUUAUUAUUAAAAAUGUGUCUGAGUUAGUCGUGGCAGGUUAGGGAAUAAGAGCAUUGAGUUCGCAAGACUAUUUCUUGCUGACAUGGGCUUGUUGACCAUCUUUGGGGGAUGUGACAAAGGUGGGGUGCUGCCACGUCCUGGGGUAGCUAGUUGCUCCAUUGCCGUCCUAACUGAAUGGAACUCUGGUGCCCCUUAGACCGCUGGCUCAAGCAACGUGGAGAAAGUCAAUUCCACUGUCCUCUUGCCCCUGAUCCAAAGAGCCCUUUGCAGUGGUUGAGGUGAAAGACAGGAUUGCUCAGUGGCUAGUGUUACCACUUUUGUGGGUGGAGUUUCUUCAGUGCCCACCAGUCUUCUUGGAGGAAAUGGGGCGGGGCCAGCUGUUGACCUGGCAGUGGUGGAUGGAAGAAUCCAGAGUUACAUAGUAGCAAAAGUGACCGAGUUGAAGUUUACAGAGUCCCGGCAUAUCUCAGACUGCCACAGGCAGGAGUAAAUGGCAGGAAAACCUUCUGAGUCACGUGCACCAAAUGUUGUUCUUUUGCUUAAGUUUGCAUCAGGCGAUCGCAAUUGGAACAUGAGCCUAGAGAUUCGUGAACCACAUGGAGUUUACUAAGGUGGGGGAGUGUGGGAGGGGGAGGAAAGAGAGACAGAGAGAGAGGGAAAGGGGCAAAGGGCAAGAGAAGAGAGACUGGGAAAGAGGAUGCCUAGAAUGUUUGUAAGUGGCAUCUCUCUGGUGACAUCUCUCUGGUGACAUCUCUCUGGUGACAUCCCUCUCUCAUCUGCUCCUCCUCUGAGCCACUCGCUCAUGCUUUGGUUCCACUCCACACGGCAGUGGGUAGAAGAGUUAUAGAGUCAGGCAGGGAUUCACAGCGGCUAGGUGGUUACUCUGGGUGACAUUGUCAAACAGAAACUCCUGGCCUUUAUUCUAAUGUGAUUUACUGUGCCCUGGACCAGGAUCUCACUGCCUGUAGUCUGUGCAGUAUUGGAGACAGUGUGAAGAGACACAUCCAUUUCUAAACGACAGAAUCCCUGUCUUGCUUCCAUACUUAGGGGCACCCCAUAGAAAUAACAUUUUUUUAGAGACUGAAUCUCAUGUAUCCAAGGCUGACCUUGAACUCACUAGGUAACAGAAGUUGACCUUGAACUCCUGAUCCUCUUGCCUUCACCUCUGGAGUGUGGUUAUUACAGGCAUGCACCACCACACCUGGUUUAAUGUGAUGCUGGGACUGAACUUAGGAAUUCUGGCGUGCUAGGUAAGUAGUCCACCAACUCAGCUGCACCCUCGGCUAUACCCUCUACUCCCUCAGCCACACCCUUUAUACCCUCAGUUUCCCCUCAGCUACCCCUUCAGCUGUACCCCCAGUCUUUCUCAACUUCAGUUUCUUAAUUCUCCCUCACUGGUCUCAAAACCCGUUUCCCAGCCUCCCCCUCAGAGUCGGUAAGUUUGUGCGUUUAAUCUUGGUUCCUUUGCCCUGCCAUGGGGAUGAACUAAAUUGAGAUCUCUUAGCAGAGAAUCGCCAAUAAACAGGGAAUCUGUUUUACCCACUUCAUAAAGCUGUCAUGAGGAUUAAGCAAGGUGUCACCCUUGGAGCGCUGCCUGGCACUUACUAAGAACUUAGAAAUCUGGAAAUUCUAGGAAAGAGAUGGACAGAGACCCCGAGUCACAGCGAGUGCUGCUGGGUCUGAAGACUCACUGGCCUGCAACUGUCUGGAAGGCGGGCUGCCUUCUCUGAGAACUGGGAAAUGUCUUUGAUGCCACCAGAGGUGUCCAGAAGGAGCUCCCUGAAACCCCCCAGGGCUGUCUGAUGAACCUUGUCCAUUAAAACCAACAAUCACGUUGGAGAUAUCACUAGUUCAGUUGGGUAGAAUACCUGCCUGGCACGCAUGAAUCCCUGAUUCCAUCCUCAACACUACAGGAAGCAGGUAUGGUGCCACACAUGUAUAACCUCAGCCCUUGGGAGAUGGAGGCCAGAGCUCAGAAGUUCAAGGUCAUCUCCAGCUCUAUAGUGAGUUUGAGGUCUGUCUAGUCUACACAAGACCUUGUCAAAAACAGAUAAAUAAAUGUCCAAUAAAGUCAGCUUCCAACUAAGCCAUUUUCUGUGGGGAAAAGAAUAAAAAUAUGUCACAGGGAAAAGUGGACAUGAAUCAGAGGCAGCCAGAACCUCCAGAGGAAGGAGCGGGCUUCCAGCGUUGGUGCUGCUGUGAGGUGGCUACUGUGGUCCCUCACUACCUUCAUACACUUCCAUCGAGGAUUAUCACCAGUAAUCCUCGCAAUUGCCCACGAGGACUAUCACCAUUAAUCCUCACAAUUGCCCACGAGGAUUAUCACCAGUAAUCCUCACAAUUGCCCGAGAGGCUGACACUUGUGUUAUUUUGACAAGUAGAGCAGCUAGGACCCUUCACUUAGCUUCACAUCUCAGAACAGGAAAGACAAAAUGAGCCAAGGCAGUGUGGCCAUCUGUAAGGUUCCUGAAGCUUGGGGACUGGUGGUGACUCUCGCUCUUCCUCUCCACCCCUCUGACAAGAUAAGCUUGGUAAGACUUUGGGAAAAAUACUGUCAUUUGCUAGAAGUUUCAAGAAUCCUCGGUUUGUAAUUCUGUGGCCAGGAGACUGAGGGUUGUUUCCUCUCAUUUUCCCUUCUCAAUCCCACUUCUAGUUCUUUCAAUUUUGCUACUUCCCAUGAGGUCACAAACGAUUGUCCACAUCAAAUAUAUUUAGGGACACCAACAACACCUAAAUAGAUAAACGCAGAGGAAAAAGAAGAAAUUCAAAAUACACUCUACAAUGUGAGAAACUGUCAUUUUCCCAACUUUAAUGGCACCGUCUUCAGAAGUAUGCAAUGAUAUAAGCGUGGAUCUGCUAGGUUACAAGGAAAGACAAUAUUGCUUUCCAACGUUUCCCUCAAGGGUUCUGGGUUUGUCCCAUGGUGGGUGGUGGGCGUUGGGUGGGUGGUACUUGCCAAAGGAGACUGAGGACAUUGAAAACCAGACAACCUGGGUGACCAUUCAUCAUGGCAUCUUUGUCUGUCUCAAAUGCCAACCUUGUUCCUGUAGGUAAAUGUAGAUUCAAGUUUAAAACAUCCGCUUAAGGAUUGGAAGCCAAACUACAGGGAAAUGCAGAGUCUCUGCAGGAUUGCUUAGCUCAGUGCGCAGCCUGCAGCUGCACCAGACCCUCUUUUACCAAGAAAGGGCUCUUUUGUUGUAUGGGAAGAUCCACAGAUUCACAUUUAAUUUUGUUUCAAAUCAUUUGCUUUUAUCACUUUCAUUCUCUCACAGAUUCGGCAGUGGAAUGUUCCAGACUUCCCAUGGCAUGUGAUGAUAAUAAUGAAAUAUGUCAAUGUUUAGACUGCCUAUAAGUAGACCAUUAUGCAAGCGUCAAAUACUUGCUGUUUUGGAAUCAUGCCUGAGUUAAGUAUUACAAAAGGAUGAAUGGGCUUUAUUGUAACAAAUGCCAAGAAUGCAUCCUGAGUUUUAAGAUUCCAUCUUGCAGUUAGCAUUUGAGGAGCUGUUGUUCACUAAGUUUCAGUCUAUCAUUGAGAAAUAUAUGAAGUUAACUAAGCAGACCACUAAAAUAUUUCCUUUUGUCAGCUGCAAAUUUAUACAAAGCCAAAUUUUCUUCAUAUACUGUAUUGAAAAUAACUGACUGGGGUGUGUUGGCUGCUACAGCAGCUGGGAGAGAGGAAUUGUCUCCCAGCCAGACAUUUCCGAGAUUUGCAAAAUCCUGAAGCAAUGCGGAUCUUUAUAGCAACUUUUUUUGAAUAUUUUAUGUUUCCAAACUGAAUUAUUUAUAUAUAUGUGCAAUUAAUUUGUACAUUAACAAGUACAUUUAAAUUUUUCAGCUCUUGGCAUAAUAAAUAUCAAAGGAAAUACUCCUCAUAAAUGUGAAGUCUUCAAGAUGAGUACUUUGAAUUUUUAACAGUUAAAAGAAUCCUGAGAAUAAAAUGCUUAAGAACUUCC